AUCAAUCUAAUUCAAAUUAGAUGUUAGAUCCGCUUGCAUACUCGCUACACUAACAUCUAACAACAUCCCUUUGAGGGUCACGUCAGAGGUCAAAUUCUAUCAAUUAAUCAAAUCGCAGCUGGCAAAAUCAUCAUAUAUUGUUGAAGCGAAUAAAUCUUGAGGCGUUCCGAAUUUAACCUCUUACGUGACCCUCAAUGGGAUGACUUGUUAGAUGUUAGUGUGGCGAGUAUGCGAGCGGAUCUAACAUCUAAUUUUAAUUAUAUUGUUUAUAGAAUAUGAUGCAGACAGGGAUACCUGGUGAAAACCUUUCGCACCCGUUGAAUUAUACUUUGUAAAAUAUUAGUCAAAGGAGCCAGGAAAAAAUAUUAAACAAUUUAAUAUUAUGAUAAAAAUAUUCAAUUUACUAUUUCUUAAGGUGUUGAAUGGAUUUUGUUUUCUCAACAGCGGCUGGUGCACGUACCAUACUUUUACUCGUAAACUCAAUUUGGCGGUGAAGAAGCAGCAUUUUCUGUUGCUCACCGUCGCAAUAGCUGAGCAUUGCUCUACGAGCAAUGUGCCCGGCUAAAAAUCAUAAUAUUUGUAAUGAUAUAUCAUAUUCUAGACUUGACAUACAAUAAACAAUGAUAAGAAUUAUUGUCGCAUAUCUGCAGUGAUUUUCUUUGAUCUUUCUGUGGUGAUAAUUUAUCCCAUAUCACAUGUGUGAUAAUACUUUCCAAACAUGUUUCAAAGUUUUUACACUCUUUAUCAUACAGUUUUAAAGAACAGUUUUAUGAGCUCAUAAGUAUAUUAAAUGGUUGAUUUAUCAAAACCUGCAUUUAAAAAUUCAGAAGUCUUAAGUUAAACCAAAUUGUCCAGGGUAUUCUUAGUAAGGUAUGUCAAAGGUCAUGGUUAAGUGACUUUGUAAGGCUGCUAUUUUUUCUUUAGUUUUAUGGCAAUCAGUGCACAUGGUAAAUAGCAUAAAAUUACCCUUAAAGGUCUUAUGCAAGGAGAUAGCUAAUUAAAAUGAACAAAUGUAGUUCUAUGUAUGAUGUAUAUAGAGACAAUAAUAUUUCUUUUCUUUUUUCAUUUUCAGGAACUUUACGUAGGUCUACAGUUUUAAUUUUGGACUCAUACACUAGGAAUAUCAUAUCAGCAGAAUUGUGCCAGGGUAUAGGAGUAGCUUCCCCUUUUAAAGAUCCAAAAUGGUGAUUUUACAGUGCGGCAUGCAGUCUGGUCAUCAACGAAGAGUUUUGACACCUGUAAUACCCAUAUUUCUACCAUUCACCAUUCACCUCUGUAACCUUUGUUGAGUUCAUCAGACUGUCCAAGACAGGAAGUUGAAGAAUAAAGUUGACAGGACAUCCUGAACUGUCCUCGCUACAAGCUUAUGAGGGAACCAGCUGCAGUGGACAAAGUACGUUACAUCAUAGGAUAAUAGCAUUGAAUUGGAUUCUUGAACUAGAGCCAUGUGAACCUGGUCCACCUGUACCUCUCAUUAAAGACCUGUUAACAUCACCAGAGUAUGUUCAUUCUGAUACCCCUAUGGUAUGGUUACAGCAUGCAUUAUCCCUGAAUCCAUUAAAAGAGCUGCAUUGGCAACGAAACAACCCAAUGUGGUCGAUUGUAAGGAAAUAUAGCAUAUCAGGUUCCAACUUUGGUGUAGUUCUCAGUUCUAAGCAAAGGCGAUUGACAUUGUCACUGAAGAAACAGCUGAUGUCGGCUUACAAUCUGGAGUCCGUCAAAGCUGUUGCAUGGGGUAUCACUCAGGAAGAUGAUGCUUUGAGAAAGUAUGAAAAAGACUUUGAUGCAGCUGUAGAGCAGUCAGGAUAUGGUUGCAUGAAUCCGGAGUGUUGGGAGCUUCACCUGAUGGCUUAGCUGUUCGACCACCAACAUGCAGUGUAUUUUAUCAAACUCCAGAAGCCAAAGACGCCAUUCCUGAUAUUGUAGAGGUGAAGUGUCCAUAUACAGCAUCGUCUUCAACAGUAGCAGAUGAGGCACAAAAUUUGAAGGAUUUUUCAUAGAUCUUAAACAAGAUACCCUGUGCCUGAAAACCAGUCACCCAUACUAUCAUCAAAUUCAAGGCCAGCUACACAUAUGUAACAAAACAUUCUGCGACUUAAUUGUGUGGACAAGAGUAGACUGCAUUGUGAUUAGAAUAGUAAAAGACAUUGAAUGGACAGCAAAUGUUCCAAAGCUGAUAGAUUUCUACAUUAACAUUUUCAUUCCAGCACUGAUGGAAAACUGAGUUCUGGUUUGAACUUCUUGACACUUAGUUUUGUACCUCUAGAAUUUUCUAACAAUGGAAAAUGGGUAAUCAUGUUAGAUGUGUUGAAUGUUCCUAAGUCUUAUAAAUGU